rnacentral:misc_RNA from 1 species
AAGUCGUAACAAGGUUUCCGUAGGUGAACCUGCGGAAGGAUCAUUAACACGUAUCCAAACGUUAAACCCCCCCUGUGAACCUUCACCUGUACUCGCACGUCCGUUAGAAAAAGCAGCAAUCCCUGGUAAAUCAUCGAACAGUUUUCGAUUCAAGGAGCGUGCAUGUUGUGCGAAGCAAGUGGCCUGGCAUCUGAAAGUGUCAUCACCUGUGUAAGGAUGACGCAGUCACGAUCGUUGGAGGUCCACACGGCCGACGACCGGGUCACUGGGCGCAAGCCCCCCUUUAACAAACCCCCUGCCAAUCGUGGCCGCGAUAACACGCAGUCAACUGUUAACAAUGGAUAUCUUGGUUCUC